UACGGGGGGUGCGAGCGUUGUCCGGAAUCACUGGGCGUAAAGGGCGCGUAGGUGGUUUGAUAAGGGUGUGGUGAAAGCCCGGGGCUCAACCCCGGGUCUGCCGUGCCGACUGUCAAACUCGAGGGCUGUAGAGGCAGACGGAAUUCCGGGUGUAGCGGUGGAAUGCGUAGAUAUCGGGAGGAACACCAAUUGCGAAGGCAGCUCGCUGGGACGUUACUGACGCUGAGACGCGAAAGCGUGGGGAGCAAACAGG
rnacentral:rRNA from 1 species